rnacentral:lncRNA from 12 species
AUGAGCUCGCUGUCCGAGGACUGCUUCAGCAGCGGGUCCCUGAAGGUCACCGGCCCCUUCCCCAGCGGGGACUUGAGCUUGGGCUUGGGAGGCACUGGUGGCUUCUCGAGUAGAAAAGUGUGUCCAUCGGCGAAGGAGGUGUGGGUGUCAGUGAGUUCCCCACUCUCUGAGCUCAGCGUGGACAUGCUGGACACCGUGGAGAUCGUGCUUGUGGUCUCCAGGUGGGGGUCGCUGGAGCUGCGCGUGUCGGCCUCCUCCACCCCUGAGUCAGCUGCAGACUCAGGCGCAGGCGGGGGCUCGCUGCUCGGCUUCCCUGAGGCCGGGCCUGGCACCGUGGUGGGCGAGGGACCUGGGCCAGGAAGGGGGGUGGCCAGCAGGACCCCGUUGGCAAACUCUUCAGGAGGCGGCACCAGCCCAAUGCGGGCCAGCUCCUCCCUGGUCUCCUCAUCACUGGAGGACAGCUGGGCGGGCGGCAAGUUCACGGCAAACACCAGCUCUGGCUCCUCCUCCGAGCUGCCCUGGCCGGGCCCGGGGUCUGUCGGCGGGGCGCUGCCGGGGGGCUGCGCCCGGGGGCUAGCCAGGGGCUCCGCCGCCACUGCCGACUGUGGAGGGGCGGGGGCCAGCUCCGGGGUGCUCGGCCGCUCCUCUUCAGCCCCCAGCCCGCUGGGCUCCUGCCCGUUGCUGGUGGCAUGCACGACGAUGAGACCAGCCGGCCGCUGCAGAGACGUGUCCAGGACGCUGAGGAUCAUGGACUUCUUGUCCUCCGGCGACUUCCGCUCCUCCCGGGGUGCUUUCUCCGGCUCCCUGCGAGCAGGCACAGGGACCCAGGCUGGACUUCUUGGGGAGAAGGCUGGGGAGGCCAGGGCCCCUCGCUCGGAGUCGCGGGCCUGCACAUCCACAAAUAGAGGCCCGGGACGGUCAGCGUCGGGGCUGUGCACAGGCGUGGGGGACCGGGAGGGCGCCUGGGAGGCCAGAGCCCGCUCCCGCGCGGCCAGGGCCAGGGCCAGGGGCGAGCUGGGGUCCAGGGGCUUGCCGGUGAGCGGGUGGAUGAAGGUGGAGCCUGAAGGCCCAAGGCUCGGGCCGCUCACCAAUGGCUUCAGAGCAGAGACGGGGGAGGGCAGGAGCAGGUCGCGGCCGGUGGUGGGGGCGGCGCCGGCGCCCAGAAGGCGCUCGUCGAUGGAGCGGGAGGGCUGCAGGGAGGGCAGCUCGGCGCUGGGGGGGCUGCCCUCGAUGGCUCCCACCGACAGGAACACGGUGGAGCGGCGCCGCUCCUCCAGCCGCCGGUCCUUGGCCGGCCCCGGGCCGCCGAAAGCCAGGCCAGGGCUGUCAGCGGGGCCGUAG